rnacentral:sRNA from 1 species
AUUAAUUUGUAUAUACAUCAAACUAACAAAAAUACACAGAUUUUCCAAAUAUCUCUAUAUUAUUCCGCAAUUCGAAACAAAUCUAACAUUCGAUUUACUAUGCAAAAUACAAAUAAAAUAUAA